AUUGAACGCUGGCGGCAGGCCUAACACAUGCAAGUCGAACGAGUGGCGGACGGGUUAGUAAUGUCUGGGAAACUGCCUGAUGGAGGGGGAUAACUAUUGGAAACGGUAGCUAAUACCGCAUACCAUCAGAUGUGCCCAGAUGGGAUUAGCUAGUGGGUGGGUUAACGGCUCACCAAGUCGACGAUCCCUAGCUCGUCUGAUGGGAUGACCGGCGACACUGGAACAGAGACACGGUCCAGACUCCUACGGGAGGCAGCAGUGGGGAAUAUUGCACAAUGGGCACGAGCCUAAUGCAGCCAUGCCGCGUGUAUGAAGAAGGCCUUCGGGUUGUAAAGUACUUUCAGCGGGGAGGCGUUACCCGCAGAAGAAGCACCGGCUAACUCCGUGCCAGCAGCCGCGGUAAUUC
rnacentral:rRNA from 1 species